rnacentral:rRNA from 1 species
ACCUUAAACGGGGGAUCACUUGGCUCAUGGGUCGAUGAAGACCGCAGCAAACUGCGUGUCACCAUGUGAACUGCAGGACACACGAUCAUUGACAUGUUGAACGCAUAUUGCACCCCAUGCGAUUAGAUUUUGUAAUAUAAAUAAUAUUCACAAGGUCUGUGUGGGGUACACAUGGUUGAGUGUCGUUA